UGCCGAUAUCACGUUGAAACACCAGUUCUACUACGAUCACCCAAGUUAAGCAAUGUCGAGCUUAGCCAGUACAUAGACAGGUGAUCGCUUGGGAAUACCAGGUGCUGUAAU